rnacentral:rRNA from 1 species
GACGAACGCUGGCGGCGUGCCUAAUACAUGCAAGUAGGACGCACAGUUUAUACCGUAGCUUGCUACACCAUAGACUGUGAGUUGCGAACGGGUGAGUAACGCGUAGGUAACCUGCCUAUUAGAGGGGGAUAACUAUUGGAAACGAUAGCUAAUACCGCAUAACAGUAUGUAACACAUGUUAGAUGCUUGAAAGAUGCAAUUGCAUCGCUAGUAGAUGGACCUGCGUUGUAUUAGCUAGUAGGUAGGGUAAAGGCCUACCUAGGCAACGAUACAUAGCCGACCUGAGAGGGUGAUCGGCCACACUGGGACUGAGACACGGCCCAGACUCCUACGGGAGGCAGCAGUAGGGAAUCUUCGGCAAUGGGGGGAACCCUGACCGAGCAACGCCGCGUGAGUGAAGAAGGUUUUCGGAUCGUAAAGCUCUGUUGUUAAGGAAGAACGAGUGUGAGAAUGGAAAGUUCAUACUGUGACGGUACUUAACCAGAAAGGGACGGCUAACUACGUACCAGCAGCCGCGGUAAUACGUAGGUCCCGAGCGUUGUCCGGAUUUAUUGGGCGUAAAGCGAGCGCAGGCGGUUAGAAAAGUCUGAAGUGAAAGGCAGUGGCUCAACCAUUGUAGGCUUUGGAAACUGUUUAACUUGAGUGCAGAAGGGGAGAGUGGAAUUCCAUGUGUAGCGGUGAAAUGCGUAGAUAUAUGGAGGAACACCGGUGGCGAAAGCGGCUCUCUGGUCUGUAACUGACGCUGAGGCUCGAAAGCGUGGGGAGCGAACAGG